rnacentral:lncRNA from 7 species
AGCUUUGAUUGUUGAAAGCUAGUGAGACAGCUGCUAGAGAGAAGAGGAAGUAGAUGUAUUUAGAAACUGCUUUUUAUGACUGGUACCAUGUAAGGGAAGGGGAGCAUACCAAUGCCUAGUUUUCAGGAAAGAAAACAUGAUUAUUCUGAGUAGAGAGUUACCUUCUGCAAUUCUCCCUAGUUUCCAGCUGUUUGCUGCUCUGGAGGGAGUGAAGGAGAAGAUCUAAAGCAAAGAAGAUUCAGAACCAGAAGCAAUUCUGAAAGUCUAUGGCCUUGAUAUCCAUAGACUUCCAUCUCAUGUCGGCAUUCCUGUUAUCAAGACACUCCCUCUGAAGCUAUGGAGUUGCAGAGCUGUUUGCAGGUGGUCCAGCUGACUCUUAUAUGAGGCAAUGACCUUCUCUGCACUGUAACAUACUGGUGCUGGACCCGGCUGUAUGUGAAUUCCUCGCAGACUAGGAGAGUUAGGAGGAGCACUGACUACGUGGUACCCAGCAGCUAGCAAAUUGCAUACCUGCUCUACGUGGGAACCCAGCAGAGCAGGAUGGCCCAGGGCCUCAGCAGAGAGCUUCCUGGGAUCUCGGCCAUAUGGCACACUGCACUGGUUACGCGUGAAGAGGUUCACUUGAGGCUUUCCUAUACAUGUGGUUAACAAGACAGUCUACUUCUUCAGCAGGUUUCAAUUAGUGUGGCUGCUCUGUGGGCGGCACUGGCUCAGUCUGGCAGCUUUGCCAAUGGUCUCAUUGGCUUCUCUUACUUUUGCCUGCAUGACUCUGGGUCUUCAGCUGCUGAUAGAAGAAACGUCUUUUCUGACUGCACUGCAAGGGGCUCUGGAGACACCUGAGCUGUAGGUAGUGUACAGCUGGCACAUCUGAAUGUAAUGCCAGUCAGCGAGCUGGGAGAAAGGACUGCUAUCAUCUUGGGUGUCCACAGGGGAGGAAAGGGUGAGUGCUCUGAAACUCUUCCUAUUCCAGCUGUGUCUUUUCCCCUCCACGGAGCCUGAGCCUCCAGGAGGCUCCUGCCCUGAGCAAAGUGGCUGGGGAUGAGGGUAAAGGGCUGCUGUAAUGGGGAAGUCCAAGGGCUACCAUAGAACCUUCUGCCCCCCCCUCCCCCCAAGAGCCAUGUCCUGCUGCAGCGGGACUUGAGCAGCCAUGAGGAGAGGAGGAACUGAAGGUCUGAUCUGGGUGCUCUGACUCACUACUCAGCUGAGCAGGAAGCAUGAGGGGACUCAACUGGUGUGAUCAGGAAAACAGCAGGAGCUGGGUUUUUGAGAAGGAACUGGAACAGAGAAACCUUUGUGCUUCCUGCAGGCAUGUGGUAGGGAGAAGGGACGGUUUUAGACCUGUUUUAUUGUGGUGAAAAUUGAGAGGGUCGUGCCGCCAUGCUUGGCGCUAGCUGUGUAGGUAGCUGUCGUGGUGGUGGAGGGGAGGUCAGUGUGUGGGGUGACACUUGUUGCUCUUUGUCACACUGCUGGCAUUCUGUGAUAGGUUCCAAAAGCAUUCGGAAAUCCCAAACAGAGUCAGAAAUUAAAAACGGGUGGUGGUUUGUGGUUCAUAUGACAGAAGGCAUAAACCAGCAGGGAAGUGUGUACAGGUGACAUUGAGCCACUGGCUGUAGUUUUAAAUGCUGAAAUAAGCGAUGCUGGUUGUUUCACGAAGCCAAGUUCCUCAUCCAGCUAUUACAGAGCUGACAUUUGGGAAAUCAGAUGCACGUGUAGCCCUUACGGACAGACUCUGCUUUGCAUGAGCUUUGCUGAGAUUUGCACCGCCAGGCAUCUCACUUCUGUUUGUCACUGUGAUUGCCUUCUUGGCAAUGCAUCGUGCCAUUUACUGCCCCUCAUGUCCUUAACUGGAAUUAGCUGCCACCCCCUCUCCCAAUGGCUCAAUCACAGCUCUUCAGCAGCUCAGCUCCUUGUUUCCCUCUGCUGCCAGCCUACUCUGCAAUCACCUUUGCAGUAAGAACGGUUUUGCAUUGGUGUCCCUGUCUCCCUCCCAAAGAGCUGCCUAGCCCUGUCCCCUCAGCCAUGGAAAAACUAUUUUCAAACACAAGAGCAAAGAGGAAGACUUUCAGCAGCUGUAAAGCUCUACUUUUCCUGGGAGGUGCUCUGUCACUGCCAGCUGCCAGGGAUGUCUCAGUGAUUUUUGCUGAUGAUGGGAGAAUUGCAUUUGAACUAAAGAGGCAAAGGGAUUAUCUUUAAGCUAACACACUGAAUGAGUACUGCCCUCAUUUUUGCUGCACUGAGGCCCCUCAUGAUCACAAACAGCUCCUUUCCCCUCUGUAGCACUUGUACAGAGGGGAACUGACCGCAUUUAACAGGCCAACGUAGUCUGAAGUGGGGUUUGCAUGAGAGCUACAAUGCCUAAUCCCAGCCUGGCAAAUAUAUACUGUUUGAUGUGCUUUGGGCAGUCUUUUGCAGGUGAGCAUGGCAAUGAACAGCGAGAGCAUCUGUAAGUAUGUGUGCUACUGCCCUUUGUGUUGAGAUGGUGCCACGAGGCCAGGCAGCUGACCUGCCUCCCGCAGACCAGAGAGUGCUGACACCACACAUGGUGUCCUGGCAAACAUUUGGGUUAGAAAUGUCUGUAUUAGCUGGCCAUGUGGAAGGGAGAUGUAUUGCUGCUGUGCAACUGAGGGCAAAGAGACAGCCCCCAGCACUCAUGCAGCUCAGGAUCUGCCUGCAGCACAGCUCAGCACUGUGCUGUCAGGGGGCAGAGCUGAAGGCCCUGUCAGCCUCACGGCAACACAGGCAGCUCAACCCCAAGUGGAGCAGGUGGGACAGAAGGUCCCCACCGCAGCCAUCGAUGUGCCCAACCAAACCCUACUUCCCUGUGCCAGACACUCAAUGUCAAAUCUCUCUUCGAGAGACCGCAGCAGAAAAUCUGAGAAGCAGGAAAGCAUCAUCUGUGCCAGCUGCAGGAGGAUUAGGAGACCUGCCCAGUGUGUGAGUGAAGCCAAUAGCAGAGUGAGAAGCAAAUGCAUGAUGAGUGACUCAGGCUCCAGGCUGGCCCAGCCCAAGGGGUGUGAACCUGCAUCACCUCUUGAGCAGCUCCAUCCCACCCAGGGACCUCUCGCCAUCGUCCCAUCAGGACUGAUGUGCUGCCAGAAACCAGAAAUAGUAUCCUGAAGAAGAAAAAAAAAAAGUGUGGGGGGAGGGGGACGUUUGUGCUGUAUCAAUGUGUUCUGGUUUGGGUUUUUCAAAACAAAAUGCUUCUGGCCUUUGCUUGGAAAAGGAUUUUCAGCUGUAUUUGUGUGCAAAAGCGCUGAUUAUGUGUUACAAUGGAAGGAGUCGAAAUCAAAAGGAAAGGAAAUAGAACGCUGAGAGACAACGGCCUGGAGAAAAACCAACCCCAGACAGCUGGGAAAUCCCAGCUCUUUGUCUGCAGAUAGAUCUGAAAAGACCAAGGGGUUUUUCCUUUGAUUCUCAGGUUUGCCCUGAAUCCAAAUGAAAGCUAAUACUGGUAUAGCUGACUUCUGCGAAGAGAAAACAUCCAUUUUUGAUUCUCUUUCCAUAUUCCCCCCCCCCCAUGCUCUGCCUGCACAUGAUGCAGCCAAACAGGAAUUGGAGAGAGACGAAGAAAAUUUUCAUAAACACAGAAAAUAAAUUGCACACAAAC